rnacentral:rRNA from 1 species
UACAGAGGUCUCAAGCGUUGUUCGGAUUCAUUGGGCGUAAAGGGCGCGUAGGCGGCGGGGUAAGUCUGGUGUGAAAUCUCGGAGCUCAACUCCGAAAUUGCACUGGAUACUGCUCUGCUAGAGGGCUGGAGAGGAGAUCGGAAUUCACGGUGUAGCAGUGAAAAUGCGUAGAUAUCGUGAGGAAGACCAGUGGCGAAGGCGGAUCUCUGGACAGCUCCUGACGCUGAGGCGCGAAGGCUAGGGGGAGCAAACGGG